rnacentral:lncRNA from 1 species
UUUGCAAACACACAUUCAAAUGCGGGGAGGCGGGGGGGGGGGGGGGAGUGCGGCGGUAGUGCUGCAAGCUGCGACUCGCCGCGCAGGCGCAAGGGGCUACUAGGGCGCGUGCGGAGGAGGGAGGGGGGUGGGCGCGAGCGUGUGGGAGUGCACGUGCGGGUCCCGAGCAGCUUCCCCCUCCCUUCCUCCACCUCUCCCCCUCCCCUCUCCCUUUUCCUGUCGCUCUAUAAAGCCUCCUCCACAUUGGCUGCCAGGGCCCUGACGUCAGGGGCCUCCGCGGGAGCCGAUUGGCCCGACACGAGAGUUCGGGAAUCCGGCUCCCGAGUCUGGCUCUCCGGUUACUCCGGCAACGGGGCAAGCAACCCCCGGGAGGUCGGCGGAGCGGCGCUCCUUGUGGCGCCCGGGUCCCGCCUCCCUCCGGACGACCGCCGAGCCCCCUUCGGCGACAGCGCAGCUCGCGGCCUCCCUUCCGUCCUUCCCGGGCUCGUACCGUCCCGAGAACAAGGCGUCCUGCCCCCGACCUUCCCCGCAGUCGCCCCGCCCCCAGGUCACAGCCACAAGCCACAGCAGACAGGAAGCGAAUCUGCGUUGCUUGGCAACCAAGCCGCGUGCCCCCUCCCCACUAUUUACUCCAGCGCAAGGAGGCGGAGACGGGAGUCCAGCCCCCUCCCCAGCCUCUGCCCUUCGCCCUCCCGCCCACAAUUUCCUGUGAGGGGCCGAGAUGACAGGAAGUCAGACGCCCACCUCGGCCCACCUUUCUCUCUGGCCGGGCGGGGGGCUUCAGCCCCUCCGCCGGCCACAUCCCCCCCCCCCCCCGACCUUGCUCCCGCGGCUCGGGCUGCGCGUCUCGCCCUCGCCAUCUCGUGGCUGCUCUGGGAAGGUCCGCACGGAGCAGGGCCCGAGCCGGGCGAGGAGCAUCAGAGUGGGGUAGCAGGACCACGGAUGGAGGGGCGGCGGGGUGCGUGGACACGAAGACUCCCGCGGGGAGGCUGGCUCCCGGCGCUCCUGGCGCGAGGGUCAAAGCUGAGGCGACACACCUCACCGUGGGAGGGACUGGAGGGAGACCCGAAGUGGCCCCGGGACCGGAGACGCACCCCUGCCCGACCACACCCGACCUCAGAGGGCCAUCACCCUGGCCUAUCUGCAGACUCUGACCUUCAGUCCUGCCCUUCUGUUAGGAACCGUCGCGCCCCGCCCCGACCUAGUGUUGCGGAGGGGAAAUCCCAGCCCCAGGGGAACUGCGAGUCCUUUUCAGGCCCCUCUUGA